rnacentral:lncRNA from 1 species
ACAGCAGCGGGCAGCGGCAGCUCGGAGGGCUGGAGCCGCGACAGCUUCCAGAGCGCCCAGGACCCGCCGACAGCCGGAGGGACCAACCGAAGGACGCGGGGCCGGGUCUCCCCCUCUCGCCCGCCGAGUCCGGCCACCUGGUCUUCCUCUCGGCCCCGGCCGCCGCAGACUCCACACAAUGAAACCAGGACGCUUUUGGCUGCAUCUCACACUGCUUGGAGCCUCCCUGCCUGCUGCUUUGGGAUGGAUGAGCCCAGGAACCAGCAGAGGACUGAACACGGGUGGGGGAGAGUCCCCGGCAGAG